rnacentral:rRNA from 1 species
GACGAACGCUGGCGGCGUGCUUAACACAUGCAAGUCAUGGGGGGCCCGCAAGGGCAACCGGCGAACGGGUGCGUAACACGUGAGCGACCUGCCGAGUACCGGGGGAUAGCCGGCCCAACGGCCGGGUAAUACCGCAUAUGCUUCCUGCGGGGCAUCUCGUGGGAAGGAAACCUCCGGGGGUAUUCGAGGGGCUCGCGGCCUAUCAGCUAGUUGGUGGGGUAAUGGCCCACCAAGGCGACGACGGGUAGCUGGCUGAGAGGAUGGCCAGCCACAUUGGGACUGAGAGACGGCCCAGACUCCUACGGGAGGCAGCAGUGGGGAAUCUUGCGCAAUGGUCUAACGACUGACGCAGCGACGCCGCGUGUGGGAGGACGCUCUUCGGGUGUAAACCACUGUUGCCCGGGACGAACAUCCGCUUUCGAGCGGACUGACGGUACCGGGUGAGGAAGCACCGGCUAACUCUGUGCCAGCCGCCGCCGUAAU